CUUAAACUCGCUAUUAAUCAUAUCGCUUAGGGAGUCCCACAUCAAUUUCUCCGCGUUAGUGCAGAGAUAUCGCAAGAAUUGUACGGAUCGGAAGGAAUCCCCUCAAUUUAUUUUAGUUCUUCGGAACAAAUAAUAAUACAUAUGUACAUCUCAACACAUUGAUAAAUUAAUCAUAGAAAGAUUCUCUUAUGAAUAUAAGAGAUGAAUAUUAAUUACCUCCUGAGUAAAUUUUAUCACUUAUGUGGAGAAUGGACAGCGCAUUCGACAGUUUGGAUUGAAGACGAUAACAAGAGAGAAUGAUCACCACGAGGGGAAGCAACAGGAGAGGAGAGUUGAUUGCAACGAGGGAAUCGCCCCAUCGCAAUCGGCACAAUACAAGUAACUAUAUACAAUACAAAAGCAGACAUUGAGAACAGAGUCAGGGACGAAUUUCACUUCCCCACUAGCAACACGUUUAGAGGUUUGCUUUAUCCGAUGGGUGUUCCUGUGAAAAAUCACAUCAUUUAGGAAGUGAUGAGUCACGAGCUGUCACGAGAAUAAACUCCUGUGGUGAAUUUCUACGAUAUGGUCAUGAAAAUAACCCGGAAUUGUACUGUUCCUUGAAGUAAUGGCGUGACACAAAAAUAUCAUCACUCCGAA